rnacentral:snRNA from 14 species
GUGCUCGGCUUCGGCAGCGGCACUGAUACUAAAUUGGAACGAUACAGGAAGAUUAGCAGCCCCUGAGCAAGGAUGGACACGCAAAUUCGCUGAAGCGUUCCAUAUUUUU